UACGGAGGAGGCAAGCGUUAUCCGGAAUUACUGGGCGUAAAGCGUGCGCAGGCGGUUCGUUGUGUCGGUGGUGAAAGCCCCGGGCUUAACCUGGGAAUGGCCAUGGAAACUGGCGAACUGGAGUGUGGCAGAGGGGGGUGGAAUUCCGCGUGUAGCAGUGAAAUGCGUAGAGAUGCGGAGGAACACCGAUGGCGAAGGCAGCCCCCUGGGCUAGCACUGACGCUCAGGCACGAAAGCGUGGGGAGCAAACAGG
rnacentral:rRNA from 1 species